GUUUCUUGUGCUCGGCAAUGCGAACAUUCAAUGGCAAUACGAUGGCAAUAUUGAUUUUAAACCUACUUUGGGUUUGCCAAACAUAGCUUCGUAAGGACUGCGAUCGAUGCCGGAGUGGCAGGCAUUCAGGAAUAUGUUCGAUAUGCUCAGGAAAGGUGGUUGAUGCAACCCUGGAUAGACUAGCAAAACAUCCAGAAUGGAAACAGUAUGGCCCUGAAAAAUUCAUAUCUCCAUAUUACUACAGCCCCAAUCCCCGCCAACAAUGGGAAAGUGAUUUGAGCGAAGCUGGUUUCAAAUGUUACGAACUGUUAGAAGAUAUUGGAAAAUAUGAAUAUGUAGAUGAAAACGAGUAUGAUAAUAUAUAUCAAUGUACUUGCACAAUUCUGCCUACUAUUCCCGAACAAGAACAAAAAAGGUUUUUGAAAAUAUACUUGGAUUCAACUAAGGAUGGGAAAAAUAAUAGUGUGGAAGUUCGAAAUGGCAGAAGAAUUCUCACCACCAAUUAUGAAAUGUUCAUUGCUAGUGCAACAAAAAUAUAAAUCAUGUCCAAUUUUUUAAUAAACGGUAUCUUCAAAACUGA